rnacentral:rRNA from 1 species
AUGAACGCUAGCGGCAGGCUUAACACAUGCAAGUCGAGGGGCAGCAUGAGACGGAGAUUCGUCGAAGUCUUGAUGGCGACCGGCGCAAGGGUGCGUAACGCGUGAGCAACUUGCCCGUUUCUGGGGAAUAACCGGUGGAAACGCCGACUAAUACCCCAUAGUAUUGAGUUUAGGCAUCUUUACUCAAUUAAAGAAUUUCGGAAACGGAUAGGCUCGCGUGACAUUAGCUGGAUGGCGGGGUAACGGCCCACCAUGGCAACGAUGUCUAGGGGUUCUGAGAGGAAGGUCCCCCACACUGGAACUGAGACACGGUCCAGACUCCUACGGGAGGCAGCAGUGAGGAAUAUUGGUCAAUGGUCUGACGACUGAACCAGCCAUGCCGCGUGAAGGUCACGGCCCUAUGGGUCUUAAACUUCUUUUGUAAGGGAGCAAUAAGUCUCACGUGUGGGAUGAUGAGAGUACCUUACGAAUAAGCAUCGGCUAACUCCGUG